rnacentral:rRNA from 1 species
UACGUAGGGUGCAAGCGUUAAUCGGAAUUACUGGGCGUAAAGCGUGCGCAGGCGGUUAUGCAAGACAGAUGUGAAAUCCCCGGGCUCAACCUGGGAACUGCAUUUGUGACUGCAUAGCUAGAGUACGGUAGAGGGGGAUGGAAUUCCGCGUGUAGCAGUGAAAUGCGUAGAUAUGCGGAGGAACACCGAUGGCGAAGGCAGCCUUCUGGGCCAACACUGACGCUCAUGCACGAAAGCGUGGGGAGCAAACAGG